AAAUGCGCCACCACACAGAAGUUUCCCUCAACCUUUUAUGCUUCCUUUCUCUGUUUUCCAACUUCCUUCGUUCACAUCCUCGUCAGUGGCCCCGAUUUGCUCUUUCUUCGAUGGCUCACCUUCCUUUCCACCGCCUGCUUGUCUCACCAGGGGCUUUCAUGUACGCCUCACUCCGACAUGUGGAAAUAUACGCCACCGAAGGGCUGGUUCCCUAUCCGUUGCAAAUAAACGGGUUUACUGUACUGUCAUAAACCAAGGACGCCUGCAUAUGAAUAGUUCCAUGCAAGGGAUACAACCACAAAAGGGUAGAUAACACUGUGUGCGUUAUGUUUGAUGAGGAUAUCACGACGAAGAAACCAAAUCUUCAGUGUCACGAUGAAGAUGAGACCAAAAUACAAAUGACUCGGGAUAUAAGGAGAUGGCCGUGGAGGAUGCAAGGGGCGUGGCAUGCGAGAGGCAGGGCUGUCGGAACUGUCCUACCUGCAGGAAGUGGCAGAGUCGAAGACCACGAGCUCUUCUUCAGCUGCACCUGGCCGUCCAGCGUGCCCAUCAGCGGGAGCGCCCCGCCGCUGCCCCCGGAACAGGAGGAGCACUUCACGUCGUUGUUGCUGCGAGAUGUCUUCAGGGAGUGGG